CUGCCGCCCAGCGCCGAUUUGUAUUCCUGCUUGCGGGCGCUUAAUAAAUGUCGCUAAACGGGUUGCAAGCAGGCUCGU
rnacentral:ncRNA from 1 species